AACGAACGCUGGCGGCAGGCCUAACACAUGCAAGUCGAGCGGACCCUUCGGGGUUAGCGGCGGACGGGUGAGUAACGCGUGGGAAUAUGCCCUUCUCUACGGAAUAGUCCUGGGAAACUGGGGGUAAUACCGUAUACGCCCUUUGGGGGAAAGAUUUAUCGGGGAAGGAUUAGCCCGCGUUGGAUUAGGUAGUUGGUGGGGUAAUGGCCUACCAAGCCGACGAUCCAUAGCUGGUUUGAGAGGAUGAUCAGCCACACUGGGACUGAGACACGGCCCAGACUCCUACGGGAGGCAGCAGUGGGGAAUCUUAGACAAUGGGGGCAACCCUGAUCUAGCCAUGCCGCGUGAGUGAUGAAGGCCUUAGGGUUGUAAAGCUCUUUCAGCUGGGAAGAUAAUGACGGUACCAGCAGUAGAAGCCCCGGCUAACUCCGUG
rnacentral:rRNA from 1 species